GUGAAUCAUCAAAUUUUUGAACGCAAAUUGCACUCUCCGGUUUUCCGGGAGGGUAGCCCUGUUUAAGGGUCAGCCUAAUAAAAAUCGGCAUUGUUGCUGUUUUAUGUUGACUUUCGUCGGAUAUGGGUUGUCUUAACUUUCGGUUUAAGCGACUUAAAAAUUUUUGUUACUAUUCUAAGAUUGUUUCUAGGUUUUUUGUUGUAUGUUUAUGUUA
rnacentral:misc_RNA from 1 species